UGCGAGUCAUUGUAGCAAUACAAGGCAGACGGCUCAGUAACGCGUAGUCAACCUACCCUAUGGACGGGAAUAACCUCGGGAAACUGAGUAUAAUGCCCGAUAGAACACUAUACCUGGAAUGGUUUGUGUUCCAAAUGAUUUAUCGCCGUAGGAUGGGACUGCGGCCUAUCAGUUUGUCGGUGAGGUAAUGGCCCACCAAGACUAUUACAGGUACGGGCUCUGAGAGGAGUGGCCCGGAGAUGGGUACUGAGACACGGACCCAGGCCCUAUGGGGCGCAGCAGGCGAGAAAACUUUGCAAUGUGCGAAAGCACGACAAGGUUGAUCCGAGUGGUUUCUGCUAAAGGAACCUUUUGACAGUCCUAGAAACACUGUUGAAUAAGGGGUGGGCAAGUUCUGGUGUCAGCCGCCGCGGUAAAACCAGCACCUCAAGUGGUCAGGAGGAUUAUUGGGCCUAAAGCAUCCGUCGCCGGCUCUGUAAGUUUUCGGUUAAAUCCAUGUGCUCAACGCAUGGGCUGCCGAAAAUACUGCAUAGCUAGGGAGUGGGAGAGGUAGACGGUACUCGGUAGGAAGGGGUAAAAUCCUUUGAUCUAUCGAUGACCACCUGUGGCGAAGGCGGUCUACCAUAACACGUUCGACGGUGAGGGAUGAAAGCUGGGGGAGC
rnacentral:rRNA from 1 species